AGAACGAACGCUGGCGGCAUGCCUAACACAUGCAAGUCGAACGCGUGUAGCGAUACACGAGUGGCGGACGGGUGAGUAACGCGUGGGAACCUGCCCUGGAGUGUGGGAUAACCGAGGGAAACUUCGGCUAAUACCGCAUACGACCUGAGGGUGAAAGAUUUAUCGCUCUAGGAGGGGCCCGCGUCGGAUUAGCUAGUUGGUGGGGUAAAGGCCUACCAAGGCAGUGAUCCGUAGCUGGUCUGAGGGGAUGAUCAGCCACACUGGGACUGAGACACGGCCCAGACUCCUACGGGAGGCAGCAGUGGGGAAUAUUGGACAAUGGGCGCAAGCCUGAUGCAGCGACGCCGCGUGGGGGAUGACGGCCUUCGGGUUGUAAACCUCUUUCACCAUCGACGAAGGCUCAGCUUUGUUGGGUUGACGGUAGGUGGAGAAGAGCACCGGCCAACUACGCGCCAGCAGCCGC
rnacentral:rRNA from 1 species